GACGAACGCUGGCGGCGUGCUUAACACAUGCAAGUCGAACGGAAAGGCCCUGCUUGCAGGGUGCUCGAGUGGCGAACGGGUGAGUAACACGUGGGUGAUCUGCCCCUUACUUUGGGAUAAGCCUGGGAAACUGGGUCUAAUACUGGAUAGGACCAUGCUGUAGGUGGUGUGGUGGAAAGAUUAGUUUCGGUAAGGGAUGAGCUCGCGGCCUAUCAGCUUGUUGGUGGGGUAAUGGCCUACCAAGGCGUCGACGGGUAGCCGGCCUGAGAGGGUGGACGGCCACAUUGGGACUGAGAUACGGCCCAGACUCCUACGGGAGACAGCAGUGGGGAAUAUUGCACAAUGGGCGCAAGCCUGAUGCAGCGACGCCGCGUGGGGGAUGACGGCCUUCGGGUUGUAAACUCCUUUCAGCCAUGACGAAGCCCUUGUGGUGACGGUAGUGGUAGAAGAAGCACCGGCUAACUACGUGCCAGCAGCCGCGGUAAUACGUAGGGUGCGAGCGUUGUCCGGAAUUACUGGGCGUAAAGAGCUCGUAGGUGGUCUGUCGCGUCAUUUGUGAAAGCCCGGGGCUUAACUCCGGGUUGGCAGGUGAUACGGGCAUGACUGGAGUACUGUAGGGGAGACUGGAAUUCCUGGUGUAGCGGUGAAAUGCGCAGAUAUCAGGAGGAACACCGGUGGCGAAGGCGGGUCUCUGGGCAGUAACUGACGCUGAGGAGCGAAAGCAUGGGUAGCGAACAGG
rnacentral:rRNA from 1 species